UACUUCGGAGGAGAAGUGGAGGUUGAUGUUGUCCAGGAGUUAUCCAUGGCCGCUGGAUCUGGUCGUCUGGUAGUGGUGAUCUUCUACCAUGUGGUUUCUGGCAGCGGUGGCCUCCUUCGAUCCCGUGGGUAUUGAUAUGUAUUUGGAUGCUUCAGCAAAAUCAUCUAUCGGUGGCUGGUUGUAUUUGUUCAACUCUUUUACGAGUGGCCUUUAGUACUUGCUUUGAUUCACCAAAGAAGAAUCAGUGGUACUUGGUUUUGCUUGAUGUAGGACCAGGCGGCGGUGCCGGUGAGCAAUGACGAGCCGGUGUUCCGGCCUGGAGAUGGGAAGGCUGGUCUGCAGCUUCACCGACCUCAGUCGUUGGGGCCCUUGGCUUGUGGUGUUAGCUAUCACGUUGAAGUUUGUGGUUCAGCCUUUGGCUGACAUGUCCUGGGCGACUCCUCGGUCGGAGAUGCAGACAUGCGUGCAUGCUUUUGAUGGCAAGGUACUAGUACUAGAUGGUCUGCAUGAUAUUCAUGGCAAGGACUGAUCCAGGUUAACUCGUGAUGCAAUAUUGGAGUAUAGAAGGGUCCAGAAGAUGGUAAUGUAUACCUUGAAGAUGACAAGGCUUUCCAGAUGGUCCGGAACGGCCUCAUGGUGCUAUUCUGCACGGCGUAGUGCCUUCCUGGAGCAGCUGGAAUGUUUGUUUUGCCCCUGCGGGCAGAGAAGACGGAGUUGGCCGGGGCCAUCAAGGUGGGGCUCGAGGAGUCUAAGGAAGGACCCUCAUCGAGGAUAUCGCUGAGAAGCUCAAGGUGGUUGUUGCCAAGGACAAUGUCAAGAAGCAGCUGAAGGCCAAGUUCAUCAUAGCCUCACCUGUCACCAUUAUGGUGCUAAUAGGACCAGUUAAUUUUGGGUCAUUUCUCCAGAUCCAGAAGAUGUUCUCUGUGUAACUGUAUCUGGCUGGUUGCAAUAUUCUUCUACGUCCCUUCUACUCUUCUCCAUGAUUCUUGUUGAGCGAGCAUGACUGCGCAUUUUCUCACUAGGCUGAUAGCUUGUGUUUUCUUGUUUACUCUUAGGAUCGAAAAAGAGAGGUCAUCUAUAUAUCCAAAUGAAUUUUCUGUUUGCAUCUUAAUUGGAACCUAUGUUCUUGUUCUUGCUCUUGUGAUGGCCAGUAGCUGACCUUGAAUUAACCCUGUGAUAAUUUUUGUAAUAACCAAUGGAAUUGUAAAUUGCGGUGCUCCAAA